AAGGGGACGGCGAGUGNCAGCAUCAUAUGCUGGCUGUCAGGGUGUGUAAAAUACACCUGUUAGCAAGGGCCGGGCAAGACCGGUGCCAGCCGCCGCGGUAACACCGGCGGCCCGAGUGGUGAUCGUGAUUAUUGGGUCUAAAGGGUCCGUAGCCGGUUUGGUCAGUCCUCCGGGAAAUCUGAUAGCUCAACUAUUAGGCUUUCGGGGGAUACUGCCAGACUUGGAACCGGGAGAGGUAAGAGGUACUACAGGGGUAGGAGUGAAAUCUUGUAAUCCCUGUGGGACCACCUGUGGCGAAGGCGUCUUACCAGAACGGGUUCGACGGUGAGGGACGAAAGCUGGGGGCACGAACCGGAUUAGAUACCCGGGUAGUCCCAGCCGUAAACGAUGCUCGCUAGGUGUCAGGCAUGGCGCGACCGUGUCUGGUGCCGCAGGGAAGCCG
rnacentral:rRNA from 1 species